rnacentral:rRNA from 1 species
GUGGGGAAUAUUCCGCAAUGGACGAAAGUCUGACGGAGCAACGCCGCGUGAGUGAUGAAGGUUUUCGGACUGUAAAGCUCUGUUGUUUGGGACGAAAGUGCCUGUUGCGAACAGUUACGGGUAUUGACGGUACUAAACGAGGAAGCCACGGCUAACUACGUGCCAGCAGCCGCGGUAAUACGUAGGUGGCAAGCGUUGUCCGGAAUUAUUGGGCGUAAAGAGCAUGUAGGCGGGAAUCUAAGUCUGGUGUUAAAAUGCGGGGCUCAACCCCGUAUUGCGAUGGAAACUGGGUUUCUUGAGUGCAGGAGAGGAAAGGGGAAUUCCCAGUGUAGCGGUGAAAUGCGUAGAUAUUAGGAGGAACACCAGUGGCGAAGGCGGCUUACUGGGCACUAACUGACGCUGAGGCACGAAAGCAUGGGGAGCAAACAGGAUUAGAUACCCUUGUAGUCC